AUGUCUUUCAAAUUUUACACGUCUGUUGAAGUUUAUAGACGUGUAAUAUUCAACUCGCACUGAAAAUUCCAUCAUAUGUGAUGCUUCUUUUUUGUUCCAUCAUAUGUGAUGUAAUUUUACAACUUUUUUUUGGUCAUACAAAAUAAUCAACAACACUGAAUUGGAAAUUUCUUAAAAUUACACGACAUGAAAUAUUACAAUACACUGAACGUGAUAAUGUCAUGUAAAAUUAUAAACAGUGAAGAACAGGACCAGACAAAUGUGAGAAAAACUGUUAAGUCAAGUCGUGCGCCAAAGUAUUUUCCCCGCGUGCGAGUACGUUAAUCGGUUUUGAUGGUUCCCGGAGAUCUUCGAGAAGCAGGGAUGCGGUUCAGGAAGCGGAUCCACGUUGCUCAACUUUGAAUCCGGUACGUCGGGGAAGAAAAUAAAAGUAAUUAAACUUAUGUGUGAGAUAAAAAAAUUUGUAUCCUAAUAAAAUGAAUUAUAUUAAUUAUAGAAGGAUUUCUAUUUUUACUAAGAGACGAGAAAAUUCCAGUAUUGAAUCAUAUUAACGAUAAAUAAAACAAAACAAAAAUCCAAUUGGAUUGUUUUUCUUCCAAUAUUCAGUGAUUUUAUAAUUUACAUCAUUUUUAAUUUACACGUUGCUAAAUUUUACAUCAUUUUUUAUUUUACACGCUGCAAAAUUUUACUGACGUGUAAUUUCCAACUGGCACUGAAUACUCCGUCAUAUAUGAUGCUUCUUUUUAUUUACAUCAUAUGUGAUGUAAUUUUACAGAUUUUUUUGGUAGUGUGUACACAGCAAAAAAAUAUGAAUCUAUAACAGCACUGAAACAAGAAAACCAUUAUUUUACAUGACACAGAAUGCGAUUUUCUUAUGUAAUUUUACAAAACAAAAAUAAUUGAACCGUUUUAAGCACUGAGAUUGAAUCACACGAAUAAUACAUGACAUAGAACAAGAUUUUGUAAUGUAAAAUUACGUCAUUUAUGAUGCUUCUUUUUAUUUACAUCAUAUGUGAUGUAAUUUGACAGAUUAUUUUUGUAUACACAAAACAAUUUGAACCCUUAAUAGCACUGAACAAAAGAUUUCCCAAAAAUUACAUGACAUGCAACACUAUACGACAUUGAAUUUUAAUUUGAUGAAUAUUACAUUACAUUGAACGCUAUUUUGUUAUGUAUAAUUACAGAUUGUUGAAAAUAGACAGCAAUUCGUUGUAAGAAAGUGGUCUCAUUGAAAAACUUGUUUCAUAUUGUUUCGACAAAUUUAUUAGCUCGUUUUCUUUCACGAUUAGCACUUCCGUGUGAUAUUUUCGCAGUGGUUUGUAAUAAUUUAAGUAUAGCGGCACGGACGACGGACUUUGACAGCAGCUCCCGUUUUCGUUUUGUUUAUUGGCGAUUUGCAGCUCGAAACGACUCUCAGAGGGCCCUGCGAUCAAAAGGGUGAUAUUAUGUAUUGAAACGUCAAGACACAUAGUAUUUUUCCAAAACAAACGGGAAAAUUUCAAAAUUUCGGUGUUGAGAGUAGAAUUUAUCAAGAUUGGAUUACAGAGUAAGGUUGUAGAAAAUUGUGUUGUUCCAAGUUGCAACAGCGAGGAAAACCUACCCGAAAUCAUAAUAUUUUCAGUCUAGAGCAUAAAGGAGUUUCUUGGAAUUAAUGAUUAAUCACUCGUAAGAUCCACGCAGAAUCUCGAAGAAUAUUUUUGCACAAAAAAUAAAACGCAACAAUAACGAGCAAAUGGAUUACAAGAGCAAAAAGAAGUUCGCGUAUGUGGACGAUCGGAGGAAAUAAAUUGGAGAGCACCGAAUGGCAAUUGCCGAAAUUGAAGAAAGUGCGUUAAACUAUCAUUGAUAGGCAUAUCACUAUUCGAUGUUGAUGCAUUGCAGAUCUAUAGCAGGAUAAACUUUAUUCCUUCAUAAAAGAAGAACCAUCCUGCAAAACUGUCAUUAACAUGGUAUAAUUAAUAUGAGAUGUUGAGAAUUUAACCAAGCGAUGUAGAUGUUUGUUAAAAUUAUUCAAUCAAAAUUUAAAAAAAAUAAUCUAGAUAUAAAAAUGCAAAUUGUCUACACAUUACUUAACACAUAUAUUUAAAAUUAUUAAAUCGUUGCA